CCUUUGGUUAAAUGAUGACUAAAUGUUGGUAGGGACAUCUGAGUAAAAUUGAGGAAACGCCAACAUUUCUGAUACCAUGGG